AUAAAAAUUCCAAAUCAUCAAAUUNAAUGAAUUAAGUCAGUUUUGUCACGUCCCUUCCUAUUUACAGGGUUUGGCAGUGGAGAAUCCACGAGUUCUGUUUCAUCCUGACUGGAAAUUUGGAUUUUUCCCCCCAAAAAAGCUUCCAAACUUCAUCCAAGAUCCAAACAUCCUCCAAGGUGCCACCAUCACGCACGAUCCAACCUCGAUCCAAGAUCCAGCCACCAUCCAACAUGAAAACCUCAUCCAAGAUCCGAAGGUUAUCCAAGGUCCAACCAUCCAAGAUCCAACCGUGCUCCAAAAUCCAAUCACCAUCCACGAUCCAAAUCUCAUCCAAGAUCCAAACGUGAUCCAAGAUAUAAACACUGUCCAAGAUGCAAACCUCAUCCGAGAUCCAACCCUCAUCCAAGAUCCAAGCGUGAUCCAAGGCCCUCAUCUAAGAUCCAGCCAUCCAAGAUCCAUCCAUCAUCCAAGAUAUAAACACUGUCCAAAAUCCAAACCUCAUCCAAGAUCCAACCAUCAUCCAACAUCCAAACCUCAUCCAAGAUCCAACAGCCACCCAAGAUCCAACCAUCCAAGAUCCAACCAUCCUCCAACAUCCAAACACUGUUGAAGAUCCAAACCUCAUCCAAGAUCCAAAUAUGAUCCAAGGCCCUCAUCUAAGAUCCAACCAUCCAAGAUCCAUCCAUCAUCCAACAUCCAAAUGUGAUCCAAGGUCCAGCCAUGAUCGAAGGUCCAAUCACUAUCCACGAUCCAAACCUCAUCCAAGAUCCAACCAUCAUCCAAGAUCCAAUCUCAUCCAAAAUCCAACCAUCAUCCAAGAUCCAAACCUCAUCCAAGAUCCAAACCUCAUCCAAAAUCCAAACCUCAUCCAAAAUCCAACCAUCAUCCAAGAUCCAACCUCAUCAAGAUCCAACCAUCAUCCAAGGUCCAACUGUGAUCCAAGAUCCAACCAUCAUCCAAGAUCCAAACCUCAUCCAAGAUCCAAACCCCAUCCAAGAUCCAAUCUCAUCAAGAUCCAAACAUCAUCCAAAAUCCAAACCUCACCCAAGAUCCAAACAUCAUCCAAGAUCCAACCAUCAUCCAAGGUCCAACUGUGAUCCAGGAUCCAACCAUCAUCCAAGAUCCACCCACCACCCAAGUCCAGGAACCGCUUCACUCCUCUCAGGCGCUCACCCCCAGCAGCUCCAUUUUCCAAACCUCAUCCCAAACCCUUCCCAC
rnacentral:lncRNA from 1 species